rnacentral:lncRNA from 1 species
UGGAUAAUGUAUAGUUGGGACUUCCGAACCAAAAUAACCGGAACCGAAGAACCGAACCGGAACCGAACCGAAAUACCCGAAACCAGAACCGGAUCAAUAUCUUCAAAUACCCGAACGGUUCCUAUAUUUUUAUAUCCGAAAUAACCAAACCGAACCGGAACCAAACCGAGAACCGAACGGGUACCCGAAUAUAUAAAAAUAUUCAUUAUAUAUACAUAUAACAUCACUAAAUAUAUAUUUUUAAUUUAAAAUUCUAUUAAAGUAUCUGAAAAUAGUUGAGUAUAACUAAAUUAUUAUAAAGUAUCCAAACUACCCGAAAGUAUCCGGAUAGUUUUAUCCGAAAUAUCCAAAGUAAUCCAAGAUAUCCAAAAUUUUUUAUCUAAAUCAUCCUAAUUAUUUGAUAUUUUACCUUAAAUAACCGAUAUUUUAUCCAAAUUAUCCGAACUACCCAAACUAUCCGAACCCGAACCGGAUCCAAAUGAGAACCGAACUUUUUCCGGAUAUUUUCCGGUUCCUGCAUUUACUAUCCGAACCGAACCGAACCCGAAACUACCCGAACCGAACCGAAUCAAAAAUAGGUCAAGUACUAAAUGGAUCAUCUAGCCCCUAUCCAAACUAUCCGAAACCCGAAAUACCUGAAUCGAACCGAACCGAUGCCCAAAAUGCCCA